rnacentral:rRNA from 1 species
UACAGAAGCCUCGAGCGUUACCCGGAUUCACUGGGCGUAAAGGGUGCGUAGGCGGUUAUAUUAGUCGAGCGUUAAAUCUUCGGGCUCAACCCGAAGCUCGCGUUCGAAACGGUAUAACUAGAAGAAGUGAGAGGUGAACAGAACUCUCGGUGUAGGGGUGAAAUCCGUUGAUAUCGAGGGGAAUACCAAAUGCGAAGGCAGUUCACUGGCACUUUCUUGACGCUGAGGCACGAAAGCGUGGGUAGCGAACGGG